AAGCCAGCCAGUGAAUCUACCUACCUCAUUGUGUUUGUGCAGACAUACUUUAAAAACUGGCAAUAGCAAAGCCAUGUUACAAGCCUAAGGACAUGGAAGCCAUUAAGGUCCCUGAAAAUGGCUAUAAAA
ensembl:snoRNA